rnacentral:rRNA from 1 species
UAGGCGUAAAUGAUGCGAGUUAAGUGUGGGGCAUCUACGAGAUGGCCCUGUGCUGUAGGGUAGCCGUUAAACUCGCUGCCUGGGGAGUACGGUCGCAAGGCUGAAACUUAAAGGAAUUGGCGGGGGGAGCACCACAACGGGUGGAGCCUGCGGUUUAAUUGGACUCAACGCCGGGAAGCUCACCGGAUAAGACAGCGGAAUGAUUGCCGGGCUGAAGACCCUGCAUGACCAGCUGAGAGGAGGUGCAUGGCGUAGUCGUGU